rnacentral:rRNA from 1 species
AUUGAACGCUGGCGGCAGGCCUAACACAUGCAAGUCGAGCGGUAGAGAGGUGCUUGCAUCUCUUGAGAGCGGCGGACGGGUGAGUAAUGCCUAGGAAUCUGCCUAGUGGUGGGGGAUAACGUUCGGAAACGGACGCUAAUACCGCAUACGUCCUGCGGGAGAAAGCGGGGGAUCUUCGGACCUCGCGCCAUUAGAUGAGCCUAGGUCGGAUUAGCUAGUUGGUGAGGUAAAGGCCCACCAAGGCGACGAUCGUGUAGCUGGUCUGAGAGGGUGAUCAGUCACACUGGAACUGAGACACGGUCCAGACUCCUACGGGAGGCAGCAGUGGGGAAUAUUGGACAAUGGGCGAAAGCCUGAUCCAGCCAUGCCGCGUGUGUGAAGAAGGUCUUCGGAUUGUAAAGCACUUUAAGUUGGGAGGAAGGGUAGUAACCUAAUACGUUGCUACUUUGACGUUACCGACAGAAUAAGCACCGGCUAACUUCGUGCCAGCAGCCG